UAGAAAUAGAGCUCGUGUCUCUUGUUUGGAGGGAAGAUGCGGAUGAUGAUAGCUACGUAUCCCAGGCUGAGUUGAUCCUCAGUGGCCCGUCGGGGUCUUCUCCAGCAAGGUCUUGUCCAGAAGGGGUUGCUGGCAGGUCCUCUGAUU